rnacentral:rRNA from 1 species
UCGAACGAAGUAGCAAUACUUAGUGGCAGACGGGUGAGUAACAUGUAGGUAUCUGCCCUUUGGCCUGGAAUAACACGAGGAAACUUGUGCUAAUACCGGAUAAGUCUUUACGGAGAAAGCUUUAUGCACCAUUGGAUGAGCCUGCACUUGAUUAGUUUGUUGGUGGGGUAAUGGCCUACCAAGACUGUGAUCAAUAGCUGAUUUGAGAGGAUGAUCAGCCACAUUGGGACUGAGACACGGCCCAAACUCCUACGGGAGGCAGCAGUGGGGAAUCUUGCACAAUGGAGGAAACUCUGAUGCAGCGAUGCCGCGUGAGUGAAGAAGGCCCUUGGGUUGUAAAGCUCUUUCGUCGGGGAAGAAAAUGACUGUACCCGAAUAAGAAGGUCCGGCUAACUUCGUGCCAGCAGCCGCGGUAAUACGAAGGGACCUAGCGUAGUUCGGAAUUACUGGGCUUAAAGAGUUCGUAGGUGGUUGAAAAAGUUAGUGGUGAAAUCCCAGAGCUUAACUCUGGAACUGCCAUUAAAACUUUUCAGCUAGAGUAUGAUAGAGGAAAGCAGAAUUUCUAGUGUAGAGGUGAAAUUCGUAGAUAUUAGAAAGAAUACCAAUUGCGAAGGCAGCUUUCUGGAUCAUUACUGACACUGAGGAACGAAAGCAUGGGUAGCGAAGAGGAUUAGAUACCCUCGUAGUCCAUGCCGUAAACGAUGUGUGUUAGACGUUGGAAAUUUAUUUUCAGUGUCGCAGGGAAACCGAUAAACACACCGCCUGGGGAGUACGACCGCAAGGUUAAAACUCAAAUGAAUUGACGGGGACCCGCACAAGUAGUGGAGCAUGUGGUUUAAUUCGAAGAUACGCGCAGAACCUUACCAACACUUGACAUGUUCGUCGCGACUCUAAGAGAUUAGAGUUUUCGGUUCGGCCGGACGAAACACAGGUGCUGCAUGGCUGUCGUCAGCUCGUGUCGUGAGAUGUUGGGUUAAGUCCCGCAACGAGCGCAACCCUCACUUUUAGUUGCCAUCAUUAAGUUGGGCACUCUGA